GCGGGUGUAGCUCAGUUGGUAGAGCGUGACCUUGCCAAGGUUGAGGCAGCGGGUUCGAACCCCGUCACCCGCU
rnacentral:tRNA from 1 species